GUGCAAGAUCGACUAUGUUGAAUAAAGUUCUAGGUAGAGUUAUGAUAAUGACAUUUUCUACCUAUGUGUCUUGACCAAGUCACGUGCCAGCAGUCGCGGUAAUACGUGGAAGACUAGUGUUAUUCAUCUUUAAUUGGUUUAAAGGGUACUUAGACGGUUAAUCAAGCCCUACUAAUUAGCUAGAGUUUUAUAUGAGAAGGGGAGUACUAAAGAGUGUAGAGAUGAAAUUCUGUCAUACCUGACUUGGAACAGGCAACGGCGAAGGCAACCUUUUAUGUAAAAACUGACGUUGAAGGACGAAGGCUUAGGACACCAACAGGAUUAGAUACCCCAGCAGUCUAAGCAGACAAUGAUGAAUGUCAUAGAUUAGAGUCUAUAAAUGAAAGUGUAAGCAUUCCACCUCAAGAGUAAUGUGGCAACGCAGAAACUGAAAUCAUUAGACCGUUUCUGAAACCAGUAGUGAAGUAUGUUGUUUAAUUUGUUGGCCCGCAAAACACCUUACCACAUUACAAGCGUUGCACGGCUGUUUUCAGUUAAUGUCGUGAGAUUUUGGUUAGUUCCAUUAAAUUAACGUAAACCCUUACUUUAUUUAAAGUAGUUCACCGCUAUAUUGGAUAUGAUAAAAG
rnacentral:rRNA from 1 species